UAAAAAAGUGCUUCAGUUUUGCAUGAUUUGUAGAGAGCACCACUGAAUCACCUGUUGUUAUAGUAUUAUUGGCAUUCAACCUGUUUAUACUUCAAUGCUUUGCUGAUAUGACUCAAGCAAUCUAUCUUAUGGAAUGUGCUAAACCUUCUCUUUACCAUGUUGAUUUAUUUUUCUGUGUGAAGUUCCAUUGAUUAACAUGAUGUUCUUUCUCAUUUUCACAACUAUGACAAAGACUAUCCCUUUUCACGUUCCCCCUUUUGUUCCAGCGAGGAGCCUUCUGCUGAAGUUGUAACUGAUUUUGUUCCUCGUACGCAAUAUUACUAUGAACCAGGAACUGGAUUAAUGGUUACUUGUUAACUUAAGUUUUUCUCUGUUACUUAUUACCUUUUUGGAAAAGAGUAGGUGAUGCUUUAUGUGAUUUAUUUCCUGAUUUAAAUCUAGAUUAGUCUUUCUUUUUCACAGUUCUUGUUGAGCACUCUAUAAGUUUUAUCCAUUACUUGUAUUCUCUUAUCCAUUGCUUACUUGAAUUUUCAAGAAUAGAGAACCGUUUUAUGGACAUAGCACUUUAAUUUUGCUAUUUUCAUGUUUUAUUUAACAAGAAAAGUCUUUAAAAAGACCAGCUACUCAAGAUGAGGUAUUUGAGCAUACACAUAUGAAGAAGCUAAAGGAUGGAACAAAGACAACUUGGAUCGAGCCACGGGCCGAGACAACCUAUAAUACUUUCAAACAAUCCUUGGAGGAAUUUGUUCAAAGCCAACCAACUGAUGAUCAAGGAAAGCCAAUCCAACCAUCCCAGGAGGAUUAUAUGGACUUGUGAAUUAAGGCGGCUGGUGGCGUACAUAAGGGAAGAGUUUACGGCCUUGGAUCAGAGUUUAGUUCUAGUCGUCGGUCUUUUGGAUAUGGUGGCUCUUCUUCCUCAAGGUCCUCGAUUAAUCAGGAUGAGUUUGAGCUAUUGAAUAGAAGAAUAGCAGAGAUCACUGAGUUGUAUGCACAUAAAAGGGCUGCGCGGGAGGAGGAGGCAAAGCGAAUGGAGGAGGAGGCAAAGCGAAGGGAGGAAGAAGAUAGGCGGGGGGAGGAAGAUGAGAGGCGGAGGGAUGAAGAAAUGAGGCGAAAGGAUGCUGCAUUUACACGUGUCACUGGUGACGUUGAAAGCCCAGCUAAACUACCUCUUAGCAUCUGGUGGAUUUCCUAUGUCACGUUCUCCAUCACACUCUAACAAGACUAAGGAGUAGUUUCUUUUAUUAAUAUGAUUUUGGGUAGGACUAUGAUGUUGGAUGUUAUGUAUCAAUUGGAUAAGAUUGAAUGCUGAAUUUCUUAUUUGAAUGUU